AUGUCCCUGACGUUUUCUCAUAGUGACUUUGACUGCAGCACAGUAAAAUGCUGUAAACACCUGUAGAUCAUCAUCAUUACACGUUCGCUCUCUCGGCCGGCAUCGGCUACAGCGCGUCCGAUUGACACAGUACAGUAAUGUAAAAAACGAAUUACAAAACAAAAUUUCUGCUGGAUUACGCGCAGGUAACACGCAGGGUUGAUAUGACGU